rnacentral:rRNA from 1 species
AGAGUUUGAUCAUGGCUCAGAAUCAACGCUGGCGGCGUGCCUAACACAUGCAAGUCGAACGAGAAAGUGGUAGCAAUACCAUGAGUAAAGUGGCGCACGGGUGAGUAACACGUGACUAACCUACCCUGGAGUGGGGGAUAACUGAGGGAAACCUUAGCUAAUACCGCAUAAUACCCACGGGUCAAAGGAGCAAUUCGCUCUGGGAGGGGGUCGCGGCCGAUUAGUUAGUUGGCGGGGUAACGGCCCACCAAGACGAUGAUCGGUAUCCGGCCUGAGAGGGCGCACGGACACACUGGAACUGAAACACGGUCCAGACUCCUACGGGAGGCAGCAGUGGGGAAUUUUGCGCAAUGGGGGAAACCCUGACGCAGCAACGCCGCGUGGAGGAUGAAGUCCUUCGGGACGUAAACUCCUUUCGAUCGGGACGAUUAUGACGGUACCGGAAGAAGAAGCCCCGGCUAACUUCGUGCCAGCAGCCGCGGUAAUACGAGGGGGGCGAGCGUUGUUCGGAAUUAUUGGGCGUAAAGGGUGCGUAGGCGGCUUGGUAAGUCUUAUGUGAAAUCUAUGGGCUCAACUCAUAGACUGCAUGAGAAACUGCCGGGCUCGAGUGUGGGAGAGGUGAGUGGAAUUUCCGGUGUAGCGGUGAAAUGCGUAGAUAUCGGAAGGAACACCUGUGGCGAAAGCGGCUCACUGGACCACAACUGACGCUGAUGCACGAAAGCUAGGGGAGCAAACAGGAUUAGAUACCCCCGUAGUCC